rnacentral:lncRNA from 1 species
UAUUUAAUAAUUAUUAUUGUUAUUUUUAUUUACCUUAUUAUUGUAAAAAUAAUUUUAAAAUGGAAUUAAAUAGCUUGUUGUUGUUAAUUAAAGAACUGAUUAAUAAAUGUUUUGUGUGACGCGUACUUGGCCAUGAUUGGUAUAAUGAUUUUUUUAUGUUGCAGAUAAGAUAUAUUUUCAUUUGUCAUAAUGAAAAAUAGAUAAAAAAAUUUAGAGUUACAUGAGUGACACGUUUGUUAAUUUUAAAGCAAAGUUUUUUAUUCAUAUUUUAUUAACAUAACACAUAUACUGAAGUAAAGAUUGAACAGAGUAGCACUUUUGUUUUAUAGUUUUUAAAAGUUUCAACUUUUCAAGAUUUAUUUUACCAGGAUGUAUAGUAACAUUGUUCUGCACAAAGUACCAAUCAUAAUUAGCCAUUUCUGGAGAUUGGUCUAUUAUUUUGGGUGCUUGUAUGUCAUUAAUAUACUUUAUUUGAAAAUCAGGUAAUGUUUAGUCACUUUUUUUGAAAAAUGACAAUCAUUCGUUUGAAGCAUUAACUUGGAUUUUCCAUAUUCCUAGUUUAUUUUGACUUCCAAACAAAAUGUUUUGUUGUCUAUUUUACUACUGAUGUCAUCAUUGCUUACCUAGAGAAUAGAAGUAGCUGUCAUUAAGGGUUUUAAAAAAUCCAUAGACAUCUGUAAACACACUUUCUCAUUUGAUUUGCUCAUACAUUUCAUUUGAAGAAGAGUAGUGGCUUCUCCUCCAACACCUCUUUCCAUGGAAAAUUGAAAAAUAUUUUUGUUCAAAUAGUUUCAUCAGCAAUUAUUUUUUAAAAUGAAGAUGAGUGAAGAUCAAUAAGUAUUUCAUAUAAUUUCUCAAUAAAGAAACACUUUUUUAACUAACUUUAUCAACACUGUUUUUAUUUAACUUUACAAGAUAAAUUAAGUGUAACCUACAAAGCUUAUUUAAUCACCACAAACUUUAGCUGAUGCAUAGUGCAUUAAGUAAUAAGCAAUUAUUUUCCAGCAGUUGUCACACUGAUUUGCAAGUAUAUUUUGUAAAAGAAGUAUAUUUUUAGACCUCAGUUUACAAAACGUGGGGAAGGGCAUUAGCUUUCUAUACGGUGAUUGAAAAAGUGGGUGAGCCUUUCUCAAAAACAUCGUUAAAAGUAUUUUCUCAACUUCUUUAUCUUUCCACAUUUAUACACUGUUAUUAUAUGUUUAAGACUAGGUAUCAUGUAGGCAAUGUCUGUUUUGUAAUGAAAAUCAAUUACUGACUUCUUUUUGUUAAUAGCACGUGAUUAUUUAUUGCUUGUUUUUUUUCGAUUUUUUUUUAUAGAGAUAUCGGUUUGCACAGAUUUUGAUAAAAUGUUUCCAAAGUUUUGACUGCAUUGUUUUAGGAUUAUUCAAAUGAAUUCCUUGACAAUAUUCUGUGCUUCUUUUUAAUUACCAUGUGGUGAGUGAAGUUUUUUUUUAUAAUAAUUACAUCUGAAUUGGUGAAUUGCUUUAAUUACCUCCCAACAUGCAUUGAAAUAUAGUUUUUAAUCUGAUAAAUUACCAUUUUUUCUAAAAUAGCGAUCCAGUUUACAAUGGAGGCUUUUUUCAAUCUUUGCAUCUGAAGAUAAUUAUUUACUAUUAUGUCUGCUAAGUCUUCUUGAGUAUUUUUGAAUUUGUGCUAAAUUAUCAAGAACAGUUGUUAUAUUUGUUCAGCAUAAUCAUCCACAAUUAUUUCUGGUAAUAAACACAUGGCAUCACUUGCAUUUCUACAAUAAAACAUAAUAAGUUAAGUUUUUUAAAAUUUUGUUUUAAAAACCAAACAGUUUGGCUUUUUAAAGGUUGAUGUUAGAGUUCUACCCAGACUAAAUAAUGGUCCGAAAUGAUACUUAAGUAUUGUUGAGUGAAAUAUUAUUAUGGCAGUUUAUCACUAGAUUAAGCAGGUUAGCAACCCAGAAGUUGAUGAUAUGCGAGUUAAAGAUUGAACUUGUUGUAUCAUGCUGUAGGUCUCUAGAGCAUUAGCAAGUUUUGGAUUAAUAGUUGUUGGAACGGUACCUAGUCAGUUAGAGUUGCCGCACAGAAGCAUUUCACCAGACAAUGUUUGAGGUUCUUCUAAAAAAUCAGAGAAUUCCAAAAAGAUAAUGCUAGUCGGCAUAGUUAGAUAUGAUCAAUUAAUAGCUACAAUAUUGUAAAUAGUGUUUACUAAAUUUAAUUUAGCUAAUAUGCAUUCAUAGGACAGACAAGUAGAUGAUAAUGAUAAGGGUUUAAGUUGUCUCAAAAUAUUAUUGCAAUGCUUCCCUUAUGGUAGUCAGAUUGGCUGUGUUGAAUUCUUUUGAAACCUGGUGGUAUCAUAUCUUCUUGAAUUGCAACAGGUUUGCAACAGGUUUGUCUGGUUUUAUUUUAGUUUCAAUCACUAUAAAAAUAUCUGAUGAUUGAUUUUGUAUAAUGGUAGAUUUCUUUAUAGCCAAUCAAACAUUUUAGAUAUUGUGUAGAAGGUUAUGAAGUGGUUCUUUUAAUUAGGCAUGGUACCCUUGCCUAUCAUUUGUUCCUGCAAUUUUGUAAAUUAGUGCCUAUUUCUAGUGUUUUGAACUUACUGAGUUCGCUAUCAAACAAUCUCUCAUUUUAUGUUUUAUAUUUGUUAAUAAAAAUAUUUUUAUAAUUGAUAUUAUUCUAAACUUUAUCUUUUUGGAAUUUAUUACCAUAAAAUUUUUUGUUUCUUUGUUUUUGAAUUCAACAUGCGGUAGUGGUGUAGUGGUAGACCACUUGCCUCAUAAGUGAGAAGUUCUGAGUUCGAUCCCUACCAUGUCCCUGGUAGUACUGUGCUCAACUUGUUUCUCUGUGCAGCCACCUUGUUUCAGAGUUAUAGAGUUAAGAGAGGGUUGUAACCAUAACUAAAAGUAAUCUCCUUGAUCGUUGUGGCUUUUAUGGCCUUGGGGAGGUGAAUAGAAAUAUAAAAAAAAAAAAGAGGUUAGGCGGUCUUUCUUUUCUUUUGGUAUGUUUUUAUAAUCAAAUUAUUCAUUUUGCAUUUUUAUUGAAAAGUCAAGCCUAAUUGCUUUUAGUAUAGUUUCAAUAGUUUGUUUAUUAUUUUCUUUGUUUAUUUGUUUGUCCAUUUUGGUUUGAUCAGCAACUUCUAUUAAAUCAAAACCUCUUUUGGGAAAAAGAAUAUUAUUUUAUAAUAGGAAUAUAUUUUAUUAACUGUAGAAAUAGGUAUCAAUACUUUUUGGUACACUUUACUAAAACUUCUAAAUGGGCUUUGAAAUGAAAAUUUAGUUUGUUUUUUGUAAAAUAUCCAAAAAAAUUGUACAAAUAGUGUGUUUGAAAAAAUAGCUAGAAAUAUAGCUAAAAAUAUUUGGUUUUACUAAUUUAAGAAUUGCCAUUAUAUGUUCAAGACCUAUUGAAAUCACUUACCAUUGUUUUUUCAUUACUAUCUGAAAGCAAGAUUUUAAGUUUUACCUUUUUUAUCGUUAUCAUUAGGAACAUAAAAUCAAUCAUAAAAAUAUAUUUUACAGCAACAUAAAACUGUUUUUGUUUAUAAUUAUUUCAUAAUUAUUUCAUAUAAUUAUUUCAGAUUUUUUCAGAAUUUCAGAAUUUUCAGAAUUUCAGAUAAUUAUUUCAGAGAUAUAUAUUUUACUGUAGUCAUUUCAUUUACUAUUUUUGAACUAUGGAAGAGUUAUUUGCAACAAUAUUAUCAAUGAUAAUAAAAUUAUAUAAUUAGGAAUUUCAAGAAAUAUAUGAUUAUUCAAAUUAAAGUUUUUUUUUGACAGUAUAAUUACAUAAUAGAGAUUAUUGAAGAAGAAAAGAGUAUAGAUUACAUUUGUAAAUAGCUAUUCGGAGAGAGCAAUGUUAAUAAGUUUUUAAAAGUGACCUGAAAUUGGUGAUCAAAGCUUGGUUAUUAUGCAUGUUUUAAAAGAAGCAAAUAGUUAUUUAUCUUCUAUCCAUGUAAGCUACAUUUAGAAAUACAUAAGAAGCAUCUCAUCAUUAAAGAUUAUUUUCCGUAAACCUGAUGGCGAAUAUGAACAUUAAAGGGAGUAAACGUAAAGGCAGAGAAAACAAAAUAUCGUUUGAAAACCUUAAGUUAAAGGACGUUAUGUUUGAAGCGUUACAAGACAGGUAUACCGUUAGUGAAAAAGAAUUAUUUAGAGUUGUCGGGAAUAAACUAAAGAAUGCACCAGGAAGAUUGAACCAUUCCAUUGAUAUCUAACAUUUAUAUUAUAUUAUAUGUAUAUAGUUUAUGUUAUAGUAUAUAGUUACUUUUUUUAAAUAAAUAAACAAUAAUAUUAUACAA